rnacentral:lncRNA from 1 species
UUCCAGUGCAUGCCGGCGGGGUAGAGGGUCCUGUGUCCCCAUCUGACAAAUGUUUCUUUGGUUUUAAAGGGAAGCUCUUUCAGAAGGCCAAGAGACAGAGGGCCAGGGGAAUCCCACCCCAAGCCCAGAACGAGGUGCCUUGGAAUUUGGGGCCCCAGGCCUGGUGCAUGGGGGUCCAGAGCACAGAACAGACAUUCCACUGACCGGAUGUAAGAAUCUUUAUAAAAAGUGUGGGAGGCAGAACGAAAACAAAUCAACUGAUUAAAGAAAAAUGCACUUUUUGGGGGUGGGGGGACAAGCUUUAAAAGUAAUUAAAAAACAACAAAAGAUUAUGAAAAAUCCGAAAAAAUAGAAUUCAUUUUUCUUGUACAUAAAAGAGAAAAACCCAACCACUAAAUGCAGCCUGUUACGAU